AAGUCGUAACAAGGUUUCCGUAGGUGAACCUGCGGAAGGAUCAUUAAAGAAUAAAAUCUGAGCGGGAUUGUCGCUGGCCUUCAGACGGGCACGUGCACGUUUCGUUCGUUUUUUAAUUUUACACCUCUGUGCACUUCUCAUAGGUUGGGCGGCGACGCGCUUCCUGUGUGUUUAAUAAAAUCCACCUUUGUAGUGUUAGAAUGUCGCUGUGAUGCGUAGAUCGCAUACAAUACAACUUUCAGCAACGGAUCUCUUGGCUCUC
rnacentral:misc_RNA from 1 species